UUAUUGUGUUUUUUUUAAUAUUAUAAUCACCUUGUUUUUGGAUCUCUGAUCUCAGACAAGGAGGUGAACCUUCACCGAUCAUCAUUUCAAUUGUGACAGACACUGAUAAUAUUGGAGUCGCUAUGGAGAGCCAGGACAAUUUUAAUAAAACUCUGAUUGGAUUCGUCUAACUGAAGAAAGUCAUACACUUAGGAUGGCUUGAGGUUAAUUUGCUCUGUGAUCUGUUUCCGCCCGUGGCUGUGAUUUUAACACACCCUCAUUAGUGCACAUGAUUAAUUAGACUUUUCACUGACAUGAGAGAUGUUGCUGUUGAUCCAAAUAUCGAAUCUUCCACCAAAGCCUCUUUACACAACAUGCUUGUUUUUUAAUAAAGAUCUUGAAGAUGCUGCUGAUGUA